rnacentral:lncRNA from 1 species
UUUUUUUUUUUUGGUGCUGUCUAUAUUUGCAGAGUUUGAUUUGCACUCCCAUUGGGCUUGAGAUUAUGGAAGAUUUGUCGGGAAGAAGAAUGGAGGUUUUAUAUUUUGGCUAGAAAAGUUGAGCUUUGAUUAAUUCCUAACCCAUAACAAUACCGAAACGGCUUAGCACUAUUAAUUGUGAGACUGGCUUGCGACCGUAAGUUGGGCGGGCGACGAUUUGAACCCAAACGAUGACUUCUUGGGAUUCUUAAGUCGACAGGCCAUUGAUAUUAAUCCGCGACAACUUCCCAACCAUGAGCUUCAAACAAUCAGGAAAUUUUCUAGCCCAUUCCAUUUCCAUACCAUCCUAAUAGCAGUCAGGGAAACUGCCACUCGACAAACACAUAUUGUCAAACCUGAAAAGAAAUCAUACAUUUUAUGAAAGAUACUUUUGGAUUUGUAUCCUAAUUUCGGCAAAAUAUUCUGAAAAUCAAUAACCAAAAAGAGGAGAAAUGAGUAGCCGACUGGGAUGGCUAAAUAUUAUGUGACUCAUGAUCUACAUAUCCAAAAGCAGAAAAAACAUUUUGGGGAUACAAAUGACUAUUUCAGUUCAAAGUAGAAAGCUUGAGCUGAAAAUCAUUAAUCUACUGCUACGUAAACUAAUUCCCACCAAAUUUCACAUAACAUAAUACAUGCCAGUUGUAAGAACACUAAGGGAACUUCUCAGUCCACAUUCCUUGAAUUGUCAAAUAACAAACAGAAUCUCUGCAAAAAAUACCCUCAGCAUUUAUUUCCCAGGCAUUUUGAGCUGAAUCUUCUAAGUCAACAUCUCAAGAUUUGAGCAAAAUGAGCAGAAAGACAUCGAGCUGCACAAAAUAAACAACAAAUGUUACAAAGUCAAGAAACACAUUCCAGAACCAGAAAAUUAAACAAAAGAACCAACAUUGCAUUUCAGUAAACACACUACCUGUCAACGAGACGAUCAGAUGGUCACUCUCUUCCGCUAUCUUCUUCAGGAGCCGCCUCUUUCACAUCAAUAGUAAAACUAUACUCCUGGUCACAUCCCAAAUAGGAGUCACUCAUGAAAUAUAGAGUGUAGGUCUUUUUUCCAGCUUCAGCAGAAGCAUCAAAAUCUAGUCUGACUUUGGACUUCCUCUGAAGGGUAACCCUUUUAAUGGCAAGCAAUUGGUUGGUUUUAGUGUCACCAACCACAAGCCACCAUCCUUCUUCCUUAACUUUGGGAUAUCUAGGUCCAUCAACAGGUCCAACUUCUGUUCUUCCCUCAAGAUCUCUUUCAAGAGUUACAUGCACACUAAUGUUUUCUCCAGCCCUCACAUUGUCACUCUCAGGAACAUCAUAUGCUAAAUCAAUGUUUGGGAAACGGUUACAGAAUCGUGCAAUAUCCAUCAACUGCAAGUCAGACAUUUGCAAAAGCUCGCGCCUUUCAUCGUCCUCCAUCUCCACCAAAUCAAAAACUGUCUCUAUACUCUUUCCAGGGUUCUCUUGGCACUUUUUUGCCAAUUCCUUGGUAAAAUGUGGGAGUUGGAGGAGCAUGGAAUCACGCUCCCACAUGCCCUGAGUUACCAUCUGACUCACUUCCAUCGCAAGAAGGGCAAGACUUAACCAACCACUGCUGGAAAUUACAUCAACCAUGGCUUGGAGCAAUCUUGAAGCAAAAAUAAGCACCUCUCGCUGGUCAGAUGCCAAAUUCCCACCUAAAAGUUGCCGAGCGAAAUGAGCUUGCAGCAAAGCAUUGGCCUUCACAUGAGGGUCAGUGCAUUUUGGGUUAUCAAAGGAGAAACGCUGGUGAUUAAUCAACCUCCUAAUCAACUCUUCUUCACCCGGUCUAAUGGGAAGUUGUUCAUACUCUGAGGCUGAAGCCAAGAUAUCCAGUAAACCCUUCAAUUUGGUUUUGGAGUUCAAAGAAGAACUAAAACGUUCAAUUGUUGUAUAACUGAUAUAAUAGUAGGAUGCUAUCAUGCCAAGAUUUAACGGUGAAAGUAAGAAAUCUUCUUCAACAAGAAUGCAUUUACUUGCUUCAAGAUCACUGAUUGUGUUCUCAACAAGCUCUGACAGGUGAUCAGAUAGAUGCCUGUGACUAACACCCUGCAAAUUAUAGUAGUUUGGAUUCUGGGUGAGCCUCCUAUACAUGAAUGUCCAUGUUAGAUAAUCCACAGCAUCCUGCUUGUUUUGUAUGACCUCAGCAACCACCUCAGCAUUUAAAUUGUCAUGCAGAUAAUGAUGCAAAUGGCUUUCAACUGGGAAUGCUUCAUAUAGGAACUUCUUGUAGUACUCCUUCCUUGGCGCAUGACAGAAGAUGACACAUUUCCCCGAGUUAUCAACAAGGGGUCGACUGGCAUGCCCCAUCAUCUGCAGCAAAUCAGUAACAGGGUAGUCACUAUGAGCACUUUCUCUGCCAUCAUAAUGUUGUGUUCCCAUAAUCACCACCAGAUGUGCAGACAAGGCCACUCCCCAGCACAUUGAACUAGUCAUAACACACACUUGAACCCAUCCAGUUUCAAAGAGAGUCUUGACUAUAUCUUGAUCAGUACCAGUUAAGCCCUCAUGCAAAUAACCCACACCAUAACGAAGAGUCUCUUUCAACAUUGGUUCUUUUAUUCUAUCAAUAAAAGGUUCCAAAUCUCCUGCAGACUGUAAAAGGAACAUUAUUUUGUCUGCGUCCACACUUGCAUAGGUCAUCAGAUCCACAGCAGUCAAGCGGGCAUGCUUCCUGGUAGGAACAAACACAAUUGCAGGUUUCCCAUUUUUGGCAUGUUGGACGAUAGCAGUAUAUGUGGGUUUUGUCAUGGCCUGCAUCCUGGCUUCAAAAUUAGCAAUGUCAAUGCCCUGAAUAUGAAUUUCCAAGGGUACAGGCCUCACACCUGGAGGAAAGUUGAAAAGACCAUGAGAGGUAGCUCCAAUCCAUUCUCCCAAAUCUUUGGCAUUAGCAAGAGAAGUUGAUAAAGCUACAAUCCUUAUCUUGUUCUCCAGCUGACUUGCAAUAUAUCUCAUUCUAGAAACUAUAACCUCCAGAAUGGGACCACCCUGGCCCCCAAUCAAGUGGAGUUCAUCAACAAUGAAAAGACUAACUUGCUGAACAUGCUUUCGCUGUUUCCAACGGCGAGAUAUAGCAUCCCAUUUCUCUGGAGUACUAAUAAUUAUCUGACCUCUUUCAAGCAGUUUGAUAUCUGUUGCUGUCUCACCAGUCAACUCAACCACUUUCAUCCCUAGCCCAUCUCCAAACUUCCUUUUCCAGUCAUUAUACCGCUCCUUAGCAAGAGCCUCAAUAGGAGCAAUGUAUACAGCACGCAUGACACUUUCAGGACCUUUCUGGUGAUUCCUCAAUAUGGCAAAUUCUGCACAAAUUGUCUUUCCACUACCAGUGGGUGCAGCAACUAAGACAUUGUCAUCUGAGUUGUACAGGAUAGUGAAAACCUGAGUUUGGACAGGAUUAAAAUGCUUAAACUCUUGAUAUAGAGCUUCAUAAGAUGGAUUUCUUAAAGCUGUCACAGGCAAGGGUUGUAAGUCUAAUAACUCCGUGGGAGGAGGGUACUUCUCUGGCAGAAUCAGAUGCCUGAAAGAAACAGGUAAGAUAGUCUGCGACCCAAGCCAUCUAUCUGAUACGACACGAAUGAAGUACUGGGGAGGCAGUGGUUCAUAUAUUGAGACUGUAAAAUCCAGUGUGUGAUCCUCAUCAAUAUAUUGCUUCUUCAGCAAGAAAUAUUCAUUAUGGAGAAUAUAUUCUCCGUCAUUAUCCUCGACAAUUACCCAAAAUGGUUCCACAAAUCCAUGUACUUUGUCAUCCCACUGGAAAUCUGGUGUAAUAGUGAGUUCAACCCUCAGAACAGAACGAGUGAUCGGUUGGACAUGAGCAGCCAAGUUAAGCUUUGGGAAUUGAUGAAUCAACUUGUGCAGAGUUCUCCCCAUCUUAGGGAAACGGAUGAGUUCUCCUAUCUCCUGCGAGGAGAGGUCAUAGUACCUUUCCCAAGCCAGAUCUUUCUUCUCCAACUUCAUCAAAAUUUCAUUUGGAAUCCCAUGAAAUUGACGGAGUGGUGUCUGGACACUCCAUAUUCGCUUGUUAAUCAUUUUGCACCACUUCAAUGCCUUUUCAGUUAAUUGGGCCCAUCCUCUCUUCAAAACAAUCUCAAAUAAUGCUCGCAUAAGACGCCCUGCACUCUGCAACAAGAAUAUAGCAAUUUUAAACAAACGGAAGACCCAUUCAUACAGCCAUAACAAAUAUAAAUUUCAGAAGACAAUGAGCAAACUCAGAUAGAGCAACAAUAACAAACCUGGGUAAUGAACACCAUGUCAGAUGUCAAAGAGAGACCUUCAAGCUUCAGUUGAGAAAUAUAUGCCUGUAGAAGAACAUUGAUCUUGGCACUAGGCUCUUCCAGACUUUCUUUGAUAGGGAUAGGGACACGUUCCAGAAGCUUUGCCAAUUCCAUCUUUUCAUCUUGUCUCACUGUCACAUACUUGAAUUCUUCACUAAGGGAGAAAAGACGACAUAGCUCAAUGUCCCCCAUUGUUGGCUUCAAGUGCUCAUUAUAUGUAGAAAUCGUUCCAUGAGUUAUAUAGUAAUAGCUGGCAAUGCGUCCCAAGUCAGUGACCUGGAAAUAUCCACUUUUCCUGUCAUAUUUCACCAGGUUAUUCUUGUCCAAUAAUGUUGCUGCUGAAUGAACCUGCGGCAUGAGAACAAAGUCAUGGAAUCAGACAUGCAAGUGACACUCAAGAACAGAUAAUGUUACAAGCAUUCCAGAUGUAGUCAUGGUUUGAAUAUAGGAUACCAUCAACUGGCAGCUAACAACAUGAUACAUUCCAAGGGCAGAGAAAUACUAUUUCAAAAACAGUGAUCAAACGCAUGAAAAGAUAAAUGAAAAUUCUAACUCAUCAAGUAGGAAAACAACAUAAUGACAAUUAUUGCACCAUAGAAGUACAAGGCAUCAUCCACAAGAAAAGAUGCAACGAGAAAGACACAUUAGAAUCAACCCAAUAAUGGCAUAGAGUUUCUUGCGCCUAAUCUAAGGGUUUCAAGGGUCAAAUCAAAGAAAAACCAGUCAAUAGAAUUUUCAUGACCUAUAUACUACCAUUAAAUUAAAUUAGUAAUCUGAUGGUGACAGAGCCACCAUCCCCCCCCCCCUCAAAAACAAACAAACAAACAAAAAAAAAGGAGGUCCGAGAAAGUCUGUUUGAUCCACCGCCCAUUGAAUGCCAUCCCUUCCCAUCCCAAAAUUCCAGGUCUUGUGGAAAAAAUAAAGAAAAGCUACUUCAUUAAAAGUGCACAUAUGUCUUAAUCAAGCCAGCGAGUCAUAAAACAAAAUAGAAACCUCGCAAAGCAAAUAGAAUAUAACUCAAGUAAAAAAUAUGGAAAAGAUAUAAUGUUGAGCCAUUCACAUACCAACAUUGUAUUUGCAACCUCCCUUCGUAGAAGGGAGCUUAAACUUUAAACGUGUCUAUCUUACAAAAUCAAAAAAAGAAAGUCGAUCAAAGUUAACUACCGCAGCAGCUUAUCAUUCCAGGUCUAUUAACCAAUCCUGAUCUUUGAUCCAACCAACAAGAAUUCUAUGCUUUCCUUCCAGUUUUCAAGUUUUCAAGCCCCUGACUCAUCUAUAGCUUUGGCAUAAAUGUACAAUAAAAGAUGGGGAUUGUUUUAUUUUAACUCUCAUACUGGAAAAUUUUCUAAUAGGCCACAAGAUCAAGGCAAAAGCAACAGCAAAACUCAGGGUUUUUUUUUUUUGGCUUUUCGGGGUGUGUGUGUGUGUUGUUAACAAAAAGCAGAGUUCAUGAGAGUAAACUGGGUGUGAGAGGAUAAAUCUGAUCUCAGACUGUAUCUCUACUUACCACCUGGGUCCAUAAUGAACUUAACCUAUCCCUAGCCAUAACGGUGAAAAACUAUAACGUGUGAUCUCGUGAAUUCAGGAUUUGCAAAUCUAUAAGAGACCAAAAAAGACAGAGAGCAAGAAGAGACACAGAGGCAACAAGAAGGACGAGGAAUGGGGCUAACAGUGCAGCAAAAAAAGUGAAGAACCUGAAAGUUUUUUCCCCCUUUGAAAUACAUCAUAAAUUAAACCUUAAUAUUGGCUAUAUUCUGACUCGAUACUUGGUCUAUUCUACCAUAUUAAAGGAUCCAAAGUACUAUUGCUGGAGCCAAAAUCACUAGUAAGCGAAAAGAAACACAAGUCCCCUACACAAUCACAUGGCAUGUAUAUGUUGCAACUAACAAAUGAUGAUAUCAGAAUUGGCACACAUUGGUGAUUUGCAUGAGAAGUCAACACUUUUCCAUUUCCAAAAAAGUGCAGAAUCAGCUUGAGACAACAUUCAGCUCCACACAAACAGGCUCUAACAGCUAUUUAAGGUAAUUCAACCAAAUUUUUGGGGGGCUGUGGAAAGAGAGGAGGGGAGAGAUACUAUGAUGUGCACCAAAUCAGAUGAAUGAAGAGACAAGGUAUAUUGCAGAAUUCUUACCAGAUCAGCUCUCCUUUCCUGCAACAUAUUAUCUGAAGCAAGGGCAUCAGCAGCUAAACUAUAAACGGUAGGAUUCCGAACCAUGCGAACAUAAAGAUAAGUAUAACCGAGCCAAAGGCAAGCUUCUUUAGCAUUCUGAACGCUUCCAAGAACAAUUUCCGCAUUCAACUGAUCAGCCAGCUUCGAUACAAACUGACUUUCAAUGGGAAGCUGCUGAUUCAUCAGAGAGAGAUAAUACUGUAGCUCGCUGUGUCCAGUAAUAAUAAUUCCUUCACCAUAAGUGUCAAAUUGAGGCCUUCCAGCACGACCAAGCAUCUGCAUAACAUCAAGGGGGCUUAGUUCAGUCCAUGCUCCCUUUUCAGGAUUGUAUAUCUGGGUACCUUUGAUAAUCACAGUGUGUGCUGGUAAAUUGACACCCCAAGCUAAAGUAGCCGUGGAAACCAACACUUGUGCAUGCCCAUCUGAGAAAAGAUCCUCAACAAUUUGACGAUCAGCUCUAACCAUCCCAGCAUGAUGAAUUGCAAAACCAUAGGGUAGCAAGUCCUUGAGAUCAUUGCUCUUUACAAGCUCAGUGUGACUCUGAAGAAUUUCACGGCUUGCACUGUCCUCUUUUAAGAACUUACCAAGAGUAUCAUUGGCAAGUGCAGCAUCACGUAUUGCACGAGCUGUCUUCGCAGUUUCUUUCCUGGAGUGCACGAAAAUAAGCACCUGAUGCUUUCCUGCCACACUGAUUACUUUCUCAUAGCACACGUCAUUCAUCAACUGAAAUCUCUGCAGAGGCUUCUUUACCGAGAUUCCUACAUACUGUUGAGCUAGAGGCACAGGUCUAUAGCUAUUGUCAAAGUGAAAGAGACCUUUCUUCACAUCAACACGCAGGAACAAAGCUACAUCUUCAUAGUUUGGAAGUGUAGCAGACAAGCCCACCAACCGUAUGUGCUCUUUAGUGGUCUCAAUUUGCCUUACAGUUCUUGCUACGAUGCUCUCCAGCACGGGACCCCGGUUAUCAUGCAACAGAUGUAUCUCAUCAAUGAUGAGCAGCUUUACCAUCUGAGUGUAGGUACGAUCACCAGAUUUCCUGGUUAUUAUAUCCCACUUCUCUGGGGUUGUAACAAUGAUCUGAGUCUCUUCAAUCUGUUGACGGGUCAGUGUCUGGUCUCCGCUCAGCUCUUUCACCUUGACAUCAUAAUCCUGGAGACGAUUAGAGAGGUUACCAACUACUUCAGCAACCAGUGCCUUCAUUGGAGCCACAUAAACAAUUUUGUAAUUGUCAUGGUUAAAAGACCCAUCUUCAUUUCUGUUCAAAGCAAGCUGCUGAAGGAUGGUAAGCAUAGCAACAUUGGUUUUCCCUGCACCUGUGGGAGCACAUAAUAGAAUAUUAUCUGCACCAAAAAGUGCUGUCUCAUAAACUUUACUUUGAACCCUGUUUAAUUGGGUCAUUCCUUUGAAAGCCGGCUGUGCCCAGUCAGGCAUGGAAGAGAUCUUUACUAGUUCUUCACCAGGUCCUAAUGGUUUCGGCUUUAAUGCUGGUACAUGAACUUCUUCGUAUCCCUUUUUCUGAUUCCUAAAAGAACCUUCUGGAAGCUCACACCUUUUGUUGGCCAUCAAGAGACCUCCCUGGUUAAAUGCAAGGCUGUCAAGAUCAAUUAAUUGACGUUGCCCUGACAGCCAACCACCAUCAGCAUCUCUAUCGCCUUGCCCCCUUCUUUCUCGUUGCCCAUCUCCUCCAGUUUCAUCCUUCAAACGGCGAGCCUCUUCUCUAAUGCUCUUCUCCAAGUUCUUCUGCCUCUCUUUUGCAGUUGCCCUGGUGGCAUACAACUGUUCCAGAAUUGCAGCAUGAUCUGGCCCCUGCACCAUCAUCUCCUCUUCAAUUUUCUUCCUAUCCUCUUGGUCUGCAGCCCUUGCCAAGCGGGUGCACCAAACAAUCUUCAGCCGGUUCCGCAACAUAUACUUGACAAGACUGAACUUAUCAAACUGCAGAUGCAACAAGAGCUUUGUUUCAACUUCACGAUCAUCACCUUCAGCAAGAAUUUUGAGGACCUCCUCAGCAAGCUUCUGGCUCUGUUGCGGAUCAAUCUGUUGCUCAUAAGCCUGUGAAAUCUUCCUCUGAAGCCAGUAGGCAUCAAUGUCCUGAACAUUCAAGGUCAUCCCCUCAUUAGCAUCCUGCAUCUCAUCAUCAUCAAUCCCACCACCCAUCUGCAUGGCACCGGCAUUCGCAUCGAGUCCAUCAUCUUCAUCCUCUUCAUCCUCCUGUACUAGAUCAUAGUCACUAUCAUCAUCCUCUUCUUCAUUCUCCUCAAAUUCAACAGCAACACCAACAUCAUCAUCAAGACCCUCAUCACCAUUGGCAGCAGCAGCUCCAGCAGCAUCACCAGCAUCUUGAUAGUCAGUAAUUAGCCGCCCGAUAGAUACCAGAUUAUCAAAUACUUGGCUGGGGAUAGGAUUCAAAAGCUUCUCAAUCUCCUUUUUCUUGUCAGGAUUCUUGAGAUUUUCAUUCUUAAGAACAGCUAAAAUCUCAUCGGCAGCACCACUGACAAUGUUAAGAGGCUGGCCACCUAACUGCUGCUGAAUAGCACUGAGCAAGGCCUCAUAGGCAGCCCGGGUUUCUUUAGUUUUAGGUUGAUAAACACCCUCAUCAGUGGUAGUAAGAACACUUUCCUCCUGUAGAAGGCGCCUCUUCUUGCUCUGCCUGCCAGGAUUGGGUUCGGAAGCUAGUGGUUCUCGCUCCUUCUUCUUCUUGGACUUUUGAAGUUGGUCUUCCAAUUCACGAGGCUUACCCCGCGAGGCACGGUCACCAAAGGUUUUGGGAUCUAUCUUGCCUUGAAGGGACUCAGGCUCACCAGUGGGCUCAUGGGUGUCACGUGGGCGCGAGUCAGUGGUCAGGACAAGACUGGAGUUGGCUCGAUACUCAUACUGUUUGAAACGGGCAUGAGCCUCAGCUCCACCACCGAUAUGCGACAUCUUGAUUGAACCAAAGACCCAAAGAAAAAAAAGAGUAGGGAAAAAUUCAGUCAGCUACCAAAAGACCAGUACAGAUAGGAACCUAAUAAUCAACAAACUCCAGUAAUAAAACAAGGCAGAAGAGUGAAUGGAUUAACCAAUAGAUUAAACACAAAAUUUUGAAAAAGACAAUAGUCUUCAGAAGGAACGGCGAUACGGAAGCUAAAACCCUAAGUAGGCAGUAAAACCCUAAUACAGGAAGUAGCAACUGUAACAAAAGACAAAAUCAGAAAAGGCAAGAGACGAUUUCCUAGAUACUUUUAUCAGCUACUCCAAUAAGCUUAAACUAACAGGCCGAUUUGAGUCGGUUUCAUAUAUUCCAAUAAUUAAUUCACAAACUUUCUCAAUAAGCUACCUGCCCUAGAUUUCUACAGAGAAUAUAUACAAUCGAGCUUCUAUAGAAAAACAACAAAAGCACCAAAAAGAAAAAGGAACGAAAAACGGCAGGCACGUGCAAUAGAGACUAAAAAAUAAUAGCAAGAAUAGUAAAAGUAGCCAUUGUUGGAACUUACAGCUCACUAUUUUGUUCAGAAGCUGCCGCCUACGGCGGAGUUAUGGCUUCUCCUCCUCUGUUCCAGAGAAAUAUGGACAGCUACUAAUCGUGUCUGUAAUUUACUAGUAGUAAUUAUUAGGGAAGGAGGAUUUAGGGCUAGUGCUAGGGCUAGGGCUACCUAUUUUAUGUGCACAUCUAAAUUUAUGCAGAUAUACAGAGAGCCGACAAGGAGGGAAUCAACCGCGGCCGAAAAACAGACCGACUCAGACGUAGGAGAGGCAAAUCCUCUUUUUUUUUCCCGGAAACGAUAGAAAUAUAAAUGAUAAGUUGUAACGCGAAGGCGGUGUAAGUAUGGCUGGAGCGGGUCUGGGUCCGGUCCAGGUCCAAUCUAUCCAACCCGGAUCAGAAUUGUCCAACAAUUUAGACAUGGACCCGGGUACGAUUAAUAUAAGGGAAAAUCGCCAAUUUAGUCCCUAAACUUUUUUUUUCCGUCAAUUUAGUCCCUAUAUAUUAUUUCUAGCCAAUUGGAUCCCUAAACCUAUAUAUCGGUUCCAAUCAAGGAUCUUUGCAGCGGCGCCACCGUAUAAUUUCCAUUAGGUUCAUAAUCGUGCAAUACAAAAGGGGCAUUUUAGGGAAUUCCAUUCUGGCGCCUUUUCCAAUUAAAAAGUAAAUCGAUGUAAAGCCCAAAUCUAGGUACUACCUCUCUUGCACCAAAGAGAGCUGUCCAAUUUUUGCAGACCCGCGUAGAAAAAGCACUGUAAUUCAAUGCAUUCGAGAAAGAAUUGGGACAAAGCAUCCUCAAGCUCAGCCAGUGAUCAAUUUAUUAACACCGUCAAAGGAUCAAAUGGUUCAGAAACAGGAAACUCGAUUUAUGAAGGAAACGAGAAAUACUACAGUGGAGACAACAUCGUGCGAUGCUAUUGCCAAGAACAAUGCCGAAUUGUGACUGCCUGGACAGAGGCAAAUCCAUCAAGAAGGUUUCAUGGUUGCAGAAAUUAUGGGGUAAUUUUUUUGUAUGUGCAUAAAGUUUAGAAUUUGUUAAAAUAUUUCUUGUCUUUUAACUAUGAAAUGGUGGUAAAUGCAGAAACGUGGUGCUUGCAGAUUUUUUUUGUGGUAUGAUCCACCCAUACCCCAAAAGAUGAAAAAUAUAAUGGGUGCACUUUUAAGGGACCUGAGAAGUGUUGAGAGAGAAAACGCAGCAUUAUUGAUUGAAAUGAACAAGUUGAAGGCAAAAGUGAAAAUAUUGUUUAUAAUUUGUAUCUGUUUUGGCGUUUUACUUGUUUUUGUACUUGGAGGCAAGGAAAGGAAGAAACAAGGUUUGCUGGAAUUGAAGAUGUUGCAGUAGUUUUGAAGAAUGUAUGGAAUUGUAUGGUUCAUCUGUACUUUAAAAUGAAGUAAAUACAAUUGAGUUUUCAUCUAUGUUUGACUCUGUUUUGCUUCUGGAUUUGUUAUUACUCUGUUUUGCAUCUGGAUUGCUCAUGUAAGUUUCUGUGACAAGUUCAAUGUUAUGCUGACAAUGUUGACUGAAGUGGAAGAAUUGCAGAAGUGAUGGCCAUUAAAAAAUUGGGUAAACAACAAAAAAAGCCCCUGUGGUUAGGCAAUCAUACAUAAAAACCCCUUGUGGUUUCAUAUCAUACCAGUCGAUACCCCGUGGUUUGAAUUAACCUGAAAAGUGGACGGAAAUCGUCAAAUAUUCGGCGUGUGUCUUAAACGAACUGCAAAGGCGCGUGCAUAUGCGAAAAACAGAUUUCCACCACAAACUUUCACCUGAUAUGCCUAUUUUAGCCUUCACUCUUUAAUAAUAAGAGACCAGCUUCCGUUUCUUCUGAGUCUUCAUUCAAUCUGUUUCCAGAUUAUUCAUUAACUACUGUAGACACCAAAAUUUUAGUGUAUUUUUAUUUACUGUUAUUUUUAUUUUUCAUGCUAGUUUUUAUUUACUUUUAGUCUUUUAUUUUUGUUUUAAGUCAUUUUAGCAUAGAAUUUAUUUUUUUUUUUAAAAAAAAAGAGGGAAACCCGCAAGCGGGUUUCAGGCUAUUUAACAAAUUACUUUAAAAAAAAAUUUUUUUUUUACAUGCAAGCUGCGUUGAGUUGCACAUGCCCAUCGGAGGGCCCUAGGAUGCCCAGCAAACCUCCCCUCUCAUUCUCACCCUUCAGGUGAGGGUUUGAGAGUAUGUGUUUGAUAUAAAUAGAACAGAAACGCAGCUUUUAGUCAUUUUACAUAAGGGGGAAACCCGCAAGCGGGUUUCAGGCAGGCUAUUUAACAAAUUACUUAAAAAAAAAAAAAAUUUACAUGCAAUCUGCGUUCUUCAAAAGGGUAUUUUCGUCUAUUCACUCAGGAAACCCGCAAGCGGGUUUCAGGCAGGCUAUUUAACAAAUUACUUAAAAAAAAAAAAAAUUUACAUGCAAACUGCGUUCUUCAAAAGGGUAUUUUCGUCUAUUCACUCAGCUCCGUCUGUUUUGCCGAUUUCCGUCCACUUUUCAGGUUAAUUCAAACCACGGGGUAUCGACUGGUAUGAUAUGAAACCACAGGGGGCUUUUAUGUAUGAUUGCUUAACCACAGGGGGCUUUUUUGUUGUUUACCCUAAAAAAUUGUUGCUCAGUCGAGUCAUUUGCUUUCUUAUGCCCUCCGAUUCCUUAUUUAACACGAUUUGCUUUGAUUUUAUUUAGCAGAUCAUCGACUCAAGCCCUGGAUUUUGUCCAAGACAUUUUUUGUUUUCAUUUUGGAUUUUUGGGUGUGUAUUUAUCGCAGACUUGUUUCGUUUACUUUUUAAUUGGAAAAGGCGCCAGAAUGGAAUUCCCUAAAAUGCCCCUUUUGUAUUGCACGAUUAUGAACCUAAUGGAAAUUAUACGGUGGCGCCGCUGCAAAGAUCCUUGAUUGGAACCGAUAUAUAGGUUUAGGGAUCCAAUUGGCUAGAAAUAAUAUAUAGGGACUAAAUUGACGGAAAAAAAAAGUUUAGGGACUAAAUUGGCGAUUUUCCCUUAAUAUAAUACAAUAUAAUAUAAAUAUAUAAAUAAGUAAAAUAGAAUAUGCCCAUCAUAACUGAUUUGGAAAAAUGGCCAAUUUCUGCGUUAACUUUUAUAUAGUGUCAAUUUCGUCUCAGUAUAAUUUUUUGGCCAAUUUGAUUCCUAAAUUUAUUUAGUGGUUCCAAUUGAGGAAUGUCGUGGUGGUGCCACCAUGUAAAUUCGAUUAAGCUACUAAUUGAGCAACUAAUGAUAGGUAUUUUGGAUGCUUUAGUGCUGGGGCGAUAACAAAAGAAGUAAAAUCGAAAAAAAAUAACUAGCACAUUAAAUUUUUGAGAAAAACCCAAAACCUUGCAAAAACCCCAAGCUUUAGUGAAUAAUGUGUUGAACAAAAUCGAAGAAAAUCAUGAUGAAUAAAGAGUCGAAUAGCAUAGGAGGUCGAAGAAUGGAGAUCGCAAGCGACGAAAUGCAUGAAAGAAGCAAUUUUGACAAACGGGGGUCAAGCAAAUUGAGUUGAAACACUUAAAUCUUCUUUCUUUCAUUAUGUUAUUAGUUUAAUCAUAUUCAAUGGGGGUUUGUCUUGUUGCAAACAGAAGGUAUUGUACUUCAAUAGCAAGAUCGAAUCAAAAUUUUUUGCUGGAAAAUGGUUCUCUCUCUCUCUCUCUUGAAAAGGGGUUUAUGCGGUUCGUGACCAUAAAAUUAAUUUGUGAUGUUGCUUUCAUGUUCUUCGAAAAGGCAAACAAUGAUAUGCAGAACCAUGUGUUUGUAAAUUACAAAUUAUGGUUGUAAUUUUUAAAAUUUUUUUGAAAAUAAAAUAGGUGAUCACUCAAAUUCGUUCAAUCUAUAUGUCUACUAUGGUGGAGCAUACAUUAAAGAAUUGGAACAAAAAUAUAUGGGGGGUACCGUGGAGCCUUUUGAGAGGGUUUUGGCUCCAAGAUUAACAUAGCUUCUGUGAAAGCCAAGCUUUUGGCUGUUUACUUGGGUGUCACCAAGAUACCAACUAUAGGUAUAUAAUCCCUACUAGAGAUGGCAAAUCAAAACUUAGACAAAUAGAUAGUAAAGAGGAUUUCACGGACAUGGCUAGUAUAGGUAAACAAAUUGAGAAAGUUGAACUUUACAUUGUCCAUGACUUUCAUAUUAGAUCUAUGGAUCCUAGCAGCAACAGGUCAACUUUUGAAAGUGAAGGUGAGAAUGAAAAUGAAAAUUUGUUCUGUGUGGACAUCAUAUUUGAUGACUUCCUUGGAAUGAAGAACUUCCAGUUAAUGUAUCUAAAAAAGCAGAUUGGGGAAAAUAAAAAAAAAGUAAAGGGAAAGCUCCUACUAUGAUUGAAAAAGAUAAAAGUGCAGAUGAUGAAAAUGAAGUAGAAUUAGAGUCAAUGGACGGUGGUCAAAGCUUUCAUGAUAGUGACUACGAUUUUAGGGAAGAUGAGAAUGACAUAAUAUUCAAGAAUUGUGCUACUACAGUUGACAAGGCAAUUGAUGGUCAGAUUGGCAUAAAUGAUGCUAGUUUUGGAGGGAAAACUACCAUCCUAACUGGUGAAGAGAAGAAGGGACGUGUAGGCACAUAGGCAAGAAAAAGUAAAAGAAGCUAUUGCUGCUAACCAUGACUUUAAUAUUUAUGAUGGUGACUAGAUUCCAGUCGAAGAGGAAUCUGAUUCCAUGAGCACAAAGGAGUUAAAUAGUUGCUAUGGUUCCUUGAAUGAAAAUACCUCAAGAAAGAAGCCGAAAUAUUAAGGUUCAGACAAAAAAUUGAUACGAAGGACCCUAAAUUUUUUGUUGGUUUAUUGUUGACACAAAGAUGAUGUUUAAAAGAGCAGUUGAAUCUUAUUCUAUGAAGUGGGGCACGGAGCAUGGUUGGGAGAAGAAUGAUAAGAACAGGGUCAGGCAAAAUGCAAGAACGAAAAAUGCAACUAGUUUGCUUAUGUUGCAAAAGAACCAAAUUGUGAUGCAAUUGUGUCAGAAUGAUGGACCAGAACAUUAAUGUGGUAGAACUUUAACUUUCUAUAAUAAACAUGCAAAUUCAGGUUACUUGAUUGGGUAUUACAUGGAGUUCUUGACGACAAAUAGGAAGGCUACAAUUAGUGCAUUUAAGUACAAGGUACAUGAAGAGCUAAAUGUGAACACUACAAAAGACCAAGCAUACAAGACCUUUGGGAAAGCCAAAAUUCUGAUCCAUGAAAAGUAUAAGUAACAAUACACAAGAAUUUAGGACUAUUGUGAGGAAUUGUUAAGUUCAAAUCCAAGUUCCACAGUGCAUGUAGAGACAGAGGUUGAUGAGAAUAAUGGAAAGGAAAGAUUUCAAAGGCUAUACAUUUGUUUUGUAUCCUUGAAAAAAAAGCUUUAAAGAAGGUUGCCGUCCUGUACUUGGUGUGGAUGACUGCCAUCUAAGAGGACCACAUCCAGGAGCAGUCUUGACAGUUGUUGGGAUAGAAGCUAAUGACUGCAUCUAUCCUAUUGCAUAUACAAUAGUGGAGACUAAGAACAAGAGAUCUUGGACAUGGUUCAUUGAGUUCUUAAAGUUUGAUCUCAAUAUCUAUGAUAAAAAAAAAUGGAUAUUUAUCAGUGAUAGGCAAAAAGUAGUAUGAUUUCAAUCAACUAAACCAACCUUAAUUAGAAAAUUCAAAUGUUGGAAAAAUAACUUCUUAUGACUAAUUUCUAAAUUUUUUCAUAUUUUAUAUGAUAAUGUUUGGGUUCUACCAUCCAAGAUAUUCUUCCCAGAUUGGAGCAUAGACAUUGUGUUAGACAUCUACACAACAACUUCAAAAUGCUCCAUCUUGGUGAAACACUAAAGAGUAUGUUUUGGGCUUUGUACAAGAUCCUCUUAUGUCAAUAAAUUUGAAACCAAAAUGGAUGUGUUGAAUUAGUAUGAUGAGAAUGCACACAAAUGGCUAAUGGACAAUACAUCACUAUACCAUUGCUCUAUGUCACAUUUUAGGACCAAAGCCAAAUGUGAUAUUCUUCUUAAUAACCUGUGUGAGAGUUUUUAAUUCUGUGAUAUUAGAGGCAAGAGAAAAGUGCAUCCUUGGUAUGUUUGAAUGCAGUAGGAUAUACCUAAUGAAAAGAUUGAAGAUAGAAAGAGAGUGGAUGAGAAAAAAGAAUGAUGUUAUCUAUCCAAAAAUUCGAAAAAAAAAAAACUUGAAAAGGCAAAAGAUGAUGCUAGAUCAAAUAUUGCUAGGAGGUCUGAUGAUGACAAGUUUGAGGUGACACAUAUGUAUGGGAACACAUUUGUUGUUGAUUUAAAGGCAAGGACAUGUACAUGCAAAAAAUAGGAGCUCACUAAUUUACCUUGCUCACAUGUUAUAGGCUGCAUUGCAUUGAUUGGAGCUGAGUUAGAAAUUCUAGUGCAUCCAUAUUACUCUGAAGACGCAAAUUUAAAGGUUUAUGAGCCAACUAUUGGUCCAAUUAAUGGACCUAAUAACUAGAAAAGAUCUAACAAGGUCCCUAUGUAUGCACCUAAGAAAUUGAAACUUCCUGGUAGGCCUAAAAACGCAAGAAGGAUAGAAUCGAAUGAGCUAAGAACUAAUUUCAAAGGGUGUACAAGACUAUCUAGAAAGUGUAUCACACAGAUGACUUGCUCUGAAUGUUACCAAGUUGAUCAAGUGCCUGAAUAAAUUGAUGUGCAACCCGCUGCUCCAAAUGAAAGCUCUCAAAGGCUGUGUAGGACCAUGUGUUUUUUUUUUUUUGUCAUGUUUUGUGGUAGAGCAAAAGAACAUGCAAGCACAAGCUUGGAGAAAUAGGAUGGUUGUCGUGAAAAAGAGAAAACAAACAGUAACCUUUUGUUACCCUGAAACUCUAUACAAAUUAUUAAUUGUUACUUACACUUGAAGGUUCUCACUAGACAUGAAUUUGCAGGCUCAUAUGAUAUUCAAUGAGCCUGAUGUAUAGUGAAAAUGAAUGGAGCUGAAGGAGUUGCUGCUGAAGUUGUUUGAUUGGUGGUUGGAAUUUAUCUUUUGUCCUUAUUGGUAGUUGUUUAAGUUGCUGCUGAAGUAGGCUACUAAAGUAGGUUGAAGUGGUUGCUGUUGAAUUUGUCUUUUGUCCUUUUUGAUAGUAACAAAUGGCUAGAAUAUGUGGCUAGGAUUAGCUUCAUUUGGCAACGAUUUCAAGUAUUUCUGAGAAUUUGCUAGAAAUUGAUUUCAUGGGGUUCACAUGUUUUUGUAAUGAAUCUUGGAAGUUAUUGUUUUUGGCUGUUAGGAGUUGGAUUCUAAGGCUUAUUUGUUGUUUUAGAAACAUUGUGUAGCUUCUAAAUAGCUAAUUCCAUUUGAAUGAAGUUAUGUUAGUUGAUAACUAUAUACUCCCUCCGUCCCACUUUGAUAGUCCUAGUUUUUUUUUUCACACAGUUUAAGAAAAAGUAGUUAACUUUGUUGGAACAAUCAAUUUAGGUAGCUAUUUUCCUAAAAUACCCUCACAUUAAUUAGAGUACAACUUUAUGAAAACUUGAAUUGAUGGUAAAAAAAAAAAUCAACUCUCAUUAAAUGGGAUAGAUUUAUAGUAACAACAACUUACAUUGAAUAAGGGUAUUUUAAGAAAAUUAAAAUACAACUAUAUUCUUCAAUUGGAAAGUGGACUACAAUUUGGGACAGACGAAAAAGGAAAACAACACUAUCAAAGUGGGACGGCGGGAGUAUCAUAUUAUUCCAUUUGACAAUAUUAUUCAUAUGCAAGCAAACUUAAUGUUAUGCAAUUCUGCCAAUUUAGUUAACAAUGACCAAACAAUAUACAUGUAUCACCAAAAACUCAAUUAAGCUACUCUCCUUCAUAUCCAACAUUGAAUUUGUAAACAUACAACUUGGAAUUCAAAAAUAUUAUAAAUCCAUAACAAUCCAUAUCCAAAACAUAUCACUAACUUGAUGAAAACUCAGAAUUACUUCAUUUUAAGAAGACAACAUUACAUGGUCCAAAACAUAUGAACCAUAAAAUUUCAUACAAUGUCCAGAGCUAGCACAACAUCUUCAAUUCUAACAAGCCUUGCUUUUGUCUUUGGGUGUCUCCAACUACAACAAGAACUAAAAUGUAGCAACAGAUACAAGCCAAGAACAAUAUUUUCACUUUUGCCUUCAAUUUGUUGAUUUCAAUAUUUAGUGCUGCAUUUUCCCUUUCGGCAUUUCUCUACUCCCUCAAAAUUGCAGCCAUCGUAUUCUUCAUUAUGGGUAGAUCAUACCACAAAAAAAUUUACAAACACCACGUUUCUGCAUUCACUACUAUUUCAUAGUCAAAAUUCAAGCAAUAUUUCAACAAAUCUUAACAUUUAGCACAUCGACCUUCUCCUACCACAAAGCCACCGGCCGUUGCUCUAGAUGGACUUCUCAUGAUUGACUACAUUGCCCAGGCACUGGGUCUACCUCUCCUGAAUCCGAUCAAGGAUACAAAGGCAAAUUUUGAGCAAACAGCAAAUUUUACCGUAGCCGGUGCUACGGCACUAUCAUCAGCUGUUCUCGCUCGUCAUCAUGUUAGAAAUCCAGUGACCAACAGUUCCCUUGACGUACAGCUUCAGUGGAUGAAAGAUCACUUUCACAAAUUUUGCCACAAUGAUUGUGAAAGGAAGCUUCAAAACGCUCUAUUUAUGGUCGGUGAAAGCGGAGACAACGAUUAUAAUUAUGCAUUCCUUCAAUACUUUGAUGAGGCUAGAGAUACGCUUAGAAUUUAAGAGUUAGUACCUCUAGUUGUUGCCAAAAUUAAGCAUGCUGUUGAGAAAGUUAUUAGUUUUGGAGCAAGGACAAUAGUGGUUCCUGGCAACUUUCCAAUGGGAUGUCUGCCAAUUUAUCUUACAAAGUUUGGGCUAGAAGCGAAGUAGAUGAGUUCGACGAGAAUCAUUGCAUAUGGCUAUUGAACAGCUUUGCAACUUUCCACAAUGAUCACCUGAAGAAGGCGAUUGCCGAGCUGCAAGAGAAGUACCCAUAUGUAACAAUCGUCUAUGGAGACUACUACGCUGCAUAUGAACAGUUUCUCAAACUAGGUGAAACUGAAGGUUUUGAGCUGCAAAAAGCUUGUUGUGGAGUUGGAGGGCUGUACAACUUCAAUGAGACGCGAAUGUGUGGAUUUCUAGGUGUAAAGGCUUGCCGUGAUCUCGAAAGAUACGUCAGCUAGGAUGGAAUUCAUUUAACACAGGAGGCUUACCGCAUGAUAGUGGAUUGGUUGCAAGCUGAUCUUUUCUGGAAUUUGCGUUGCCAUCAUUGAACAAUUCUAUCAACUUUAUCAUGUUCUUCAAGCUCCUACAGUAGUAGUACUCGAGUCCCAGUAUGCUUUUUCAGUCCAGUAGCUUAGUUUAGUUUUAGCUAAUGGGAAGCUCUUGUGUGACUAAUUUCGUCACCAACUAUUUGAGCACUUACUUUUAUAUGAAACUUUUUCAGUUUUUAUCAAAAAAAAAAAUCUUAACAUUUAGCACAUACAAAAAAUUACAUCCAUACAGUCACAAUUCGGCAUUGUUGAAGGCAGUGGCGUCCAUGAUUUUUUCUCCAUUAUAAUAUUUGUCAUUUCCUUCAUAAAUCAAGCUUUCUAAUUCUGAUCCAUUUGAGCCAAUGCUGUUUGGGACUCGAUCACUAGUUGAGCUUGAGAAUGCUUUGUCCCAAUUCCUUCUCGUAUACAUUUCAUUGCAGUGAUUUUGUGCACAAGUUUGGGAAAUUUGUGAAUUUAUUUAGAUCUCCUUUUUUUUGGAUGAACCCUAGGUUUAGAAUUGGGUCCGUCAUCGAUUUUACUUCUUUUGUUACUACCCCAGCAUUGAAGUACCUAAAAUACCCUUACUUAGUUGUUCAAUUAGCAGUUUGAUAGAAUUUACAUGGUGGCGCCGCUGCGGUGUUCCUCAAUUGGAACCGGUAAAUAAGUUUAGGGAUCAAAUUAAUCAAAAAAAUUAUAUAAGGAUGAAAUUGACACUAUAAAAAAUUUUAGGGACAAAAUUGGUCAUUUUCCCUAACUAAUUUAUAACCAUUUUAUUGAAACAAAUGUUGUCGUAUGAAUCAAGUAAUUAUCUUGUCUUGUUGGUCGAGAAUAAAAAUUAAAUAUUAAAUUAUUAGAAAUUUAUUAUAUAAAAUUUCUAAAUUUAUAACAUUGAAGGUGGUGCUAAUUUAUUGGAUAGUACUAAUUUGGGUUUAAAAUUACAACAUCAUUAUGAAUAGUCUUAAAAUUUUUGACAUUUUUUAUUUAUUUUGAUGGCAUUUAUUUUUUUCUCUUAUUUGGUGCAGAGAAUGUUUUUAUCUCUUUUUAUCAUAUAAGAGGCGAUGAGAGACUUUUUUUUCUUUUAAUUGUGUUAGGAAAAUAUUUUUACCUUUUUGACACAUUGCACUUGAAAGUUGAUUGAAGUAUAAUUUUGAAAAACACUAGUGGAUCAAUAAUUAAGAUGAUAGUAUCAAACAAUUUUAAUUAAUUAAAAUUUGUAAUUGGUUUUAUAAACAUCUCUAGUUGUAUGAAAAGACAUGUUUUUGUAUUGAUAAUUUUUUUUAUCAAAUUGCUAUGGGUAUUUUUGUCAUCUUAAUAAUAGAGGUGUAGAUUUAGACUGAGGGGGUGUGGAUUUAGCCCUACCCUUUCUAUUAUUUGCCAUAAGACAUAUGCAAGCUUACCUCAAACAUUUCUUUCAAACAGAAGUAUGAAGAAUAUUUUCUCGUAACUAAAGAGAAGAUGGAGUAAGGUCAAGAUUAGCGUCCUAUUCGAUAACCCAGUUAAUUAUUUAAAUUUAAUGAUUUAAAUCUUAACAUGUUUAAACGUGUUUGAUAGCCAAAAAUAGAACAUCUAAAUUAAUUAAUUGACAUUGAAUUUCCUGGCAAAACUUGCUCCAAAAAAUAAAUGAUAAGUUGUUUACGUAUCACUUAAUGUGAUAUAUACUCAAAUGUAUUAAAUUUAGUAAUUAACAAUUCAGUAUCUUAAUUAAUUCAGAUUUCAGUUUUCAAACUUUAGUUUUAUCAAACGCACGUGAAGCACCAAUGCAGCUAGCUUGAGCCAGCUAGAAUAAUCACUCACCAAGUUUUCCAAGUAAUCUGCUGAAGCUUUUCGAAGCUAUCCCGCUAAAACAAUAAUCCAAGAAUUUUCUACUUGUGUUUACAAAGUUAGAGAGAAAUCAAAUUAACAGAAUUAAUUAACUUCAUCAUAUUUUAAACAAAUUUUCAAUCACAAUUAAGUACAUUUUAUAAUAGCAUCCCUUCUUGCCACCAACAAUUUUGAGUCAAGAAAGACGUCACAAUAAGAAAUUACAGACCAUCUUUAUAAAUUUUAAAGCUACAUUUACAUACUAGAAAGUCUAGAAUGGCAUAUAGUUCUGCCACCCGGGAAUCAGCAAUUGUAAAAUGCAGAAUGGGAAAGUUUGAGAAUGAAAAGCACAAUUUUCUAGUACGUUAUCUAUUGACAAACUGGAAAACAAAUGGAGGACUAGAAGGUAAAUUUGGAGAGGCCAUUUAUCAGAGACCAUAUUUUGUUUACAGGCACAUUAUGGUAUGAUUUAAAGACUAACUAAAUUCUUCUCCUCGAAGCUUUUCAUGGUAUCCUUUAGGCUCAUCUCCAAAGGGAUGUAGUGAAUCCCUAAACUUCUGACUUUUUCUUGAGAUAUUUUGUAGUCUGGAAAAGUAAGGCUGCUACAGUCGAUGAAUCUGUCGGAUGACAAAACAAUUUUUGAAAUCAAUAGUAAACAAAAGUGUAGAUAAAAAUGAAAGAAUGAUACGCUGCAAAAGUAUGUAAAGAUCAUAAAUCUUUCAUGUUUGAUGAAGGGUAAUCUUUAAAUCAGAAACCAGAUUAAUUGCCAAUUUCAAGCUGGAUGAUGCAUGGACUGUUCAGUAAAUUCUUUUCUUUUCCAUAAUGUUGUUGAGGAGGUCACAGGUCUUCAAAUGCAGUGCAGAUACCAAAAAUGGAUCAAAGAGCCUAAAUAACACAUAAUUAAGAAGGGAAAAAUACACUCACUUUGCCGGGAAUUCGAGAGUGGGGUAAAGUUCUUGAAGAACCUCGAGGAGCUGAGAACCGUUUGCAAAUCUUUCAACGAGACAAUAUCUUCCAUUAGCAGAAGGGAUUUCAAAGGCGAGAAUAUGUGCACAGGCAACAUCUCUAACAUCAACCCAUGGCAGAGUUGCAUUGGGAAAUGAUUGAGCCCCUGUAUUGCCAUUAACUAGAAUGAUCAUUCUUGCCAGGAUAUAAGUUUAGAUAUCAGUAUGACUGCACGAAGCCUUGUUCACAGGAGUUCAUUGAGCCAUCCUUUCUUUGUUUGAAUUUGAGAAUACAAACAUUUAGCGAGUGAUAAAGCUCACACUAGAUCAACAUUUUCAGAGAUAAAAAUGAUGAUUAAGUGACCUAAUAGUUUCCUGAAAUUACCUGUUACUAGGUUCAGGAUGAGUUCUACACUUUGGUUGAUCGUUGGCUGCAAGAGAGGACCAAUGACCAAUGCUGGAUUUAUUGCAACCAUGUCAAUGCCAUGCUCCUUUGCAAAUUUCCACGCAGCAUUCUCAGCCAAGGUCUUCGAUAACAUAUACCACAACUGAAACACCAAAAAUUUGGUAAGCUGCUAACAAAGCAUUGUUUUUCAAUUACAGAAACCAUACCUGCAUCAGUGAAUAUUUAUAUAUAUAUAUAUAUAUAUCUGACCACCAUGCUAAUCCUCAGAAUUAAUUCAGUAUUUCUGAUAAUUUGUGAGAAAUUUCUAUCAAGUCAUGCAGAUAUCUUAUCUUUUCUCCAUACUUGGACCAAAUUAAAAUACCAUCAGACUUUGUCCAUUUGAAAGCGAAAAUUAUACUAGUAUGUAUAUGACUUCAAAGAUAGUUUUUGCAGGAAGAAUAUAGUAAUGGUUACACACCUCAUUCUUUUCACAGUAUGAUGGAUCUGAAAACCAGCUCUCGUCAACCACCACAUCAUCCUUUAAAUCAGUAUUGUUUAUAACUGCUGCCAUUGAGGAUGUUAGAACCACUCUCUUGACCGAUGGAACUCUUGCACAAGAUCGUAGCACAUUCAGUGUUCCCUUUACUGCAGGGUCCAGUAGUUCCGCCUAAAAAUUGAAGGCAGAACAAGAAUUGAGUCAUUAUUCAGGAAAUUAAACGGAAAUCAAUUUUCGGUUCAUACCUAUAAAGAGCUACGACACCAAAAUUCUGUUUUUAGAUACCACUGCAAAUUCAUUGAGUUAAGUAGGUACAUCAUGUGUGAAAUUUUUAUUGUAGCUUUUCGUUACUCCUGAUAACUAAAGCAUACUGUGUCAAGCUCAAACUAAUUAUGCUCGCAAUUAAGUGAAUCUCCACAUAUUCUGUUCUCUGCACUACCUAUAUCAGCCCCAGAUCAUGUUCUGAAGUUGUUUGAAGUUAAAAGUUACAUGUGAAUGAACUAUUAUCAUCUUAGAUAAUAGAUAGUGAAGAAAUAAUUUCACUGCGGUGACUAUACUAAUGUUGCAUUAAAAGCAUAUAAUAAGAAGUCUAGAAAUUAAAUCUGGGAAAUCUUUGAAGAAUUUUAUAUUCCACGGGCUCUGUUUGCUGAAUGCUAAUACCAUGUUUUUCAGAAAAUUUUUGUCGCGAAUCUAGUUAUGUUUUUAUCUCACAUAUACUUUUUUUUCACAUGUAUAUAUAAAUUUAACGUAGCAAACAACAAAAAGUGCCGUUCCUGAAAACAGUUUAUUAAAAAACCAUCCAAACUGGUGACAUAGACGUACCUGUGGAUCUCUGGCUGGAACUGAAAAUUGACAAGGAGAUGCAGUAUGAAAAACACCUUCGCAUCCAUUAACUAUUUCAUCAAAGGAUCCCUCUUCUAGCAAGUUUGCCUUAAGCAAAAGAAGCCUCUCCUUGGCUCCAUCAAGUGAAGUCAAAUGCAUUGUUUUUGUUGGGUCAUCUGUGCAUUUGUAGGUAGUACUCAGACUUGUUAGUGACAUUUACGCUUGCUUUGGAAGUUCAGGAUAGAAUAUGAAAGAAGAAAAAUCUUACAUUGAGAGAGAAAAGAGAACAAAAGCAAAGAAAGGAGAUGACAACUCUUUACUAUCCUCUAUAGAGAAUGUAUAAUCGUUGCCACUUAGAACACCUUAGUUCUUAUGUUUAUUUGAGAGCAAAAAAGCAAUUCAAGGACUCGUGAUGAACUGUGCAAACUUUCUCUCCAUUUAUUCCCACCACUCAAGCAAAGAAAUGGGAAAUAAUGAAUAAAAUUUCUUUAAGGAUCUUAGAAUUAUCUCCGUAUCCAUCUAAAACUCUUAAACAUGAGAAAGUUUUAAUUAAAAAAAGUACUUCUAAGCACUUUCAAGGAAUGGUAAAGUAUAAGACUCCACAUGUACAGCGUGCAGUAUGGUUCAAGUUGGUAACAGGCAUAACAAAACAAUAAUAAUAUCCUAGAGACCUGUAUGCAAACAGGAUACAGGGACCAUUCUUGAUUGAUGAUUCUGCUCAUGAAUGAGAAGAACAAAUGCAUGGAACAACAAAUCCAUGGAGAAAAAAUGGACUUACUGAGGUCACGAACUGAAGCUUUAACAGUAUAACCGCGCUCAAGCAGCAGCUUCACCAGCCAUGAAGCUAUGUAUCCUGAAGCUCCUGUAACACACACCACCUUCCCUGCACCAAUCAUUCUUGCUCUUGUAUUUUAUGUGAACUAAUAUUGCUGUGUUUUCCCCUCCUAGUUUAUCUUAUGUGUGCCUGAAGUACAAACUGUUCUGCUACAUAUAUAUAUAUAUAUAUAGGAGAAGAAAGUCAAGAAUGAAGAUUUGACUACAAACUGCAUGAUUACAAUCCUCCAUUUACCUUAUUCAAAAUUAUAAUUCAAAAUGAUUUAUAAUUGAAUGUUGACCGCAAAUUACGUGAUUAGAUCCUCUAUUUCUCUUAAAAUUAUUGCGCAAAAUUAUUUUUAGAGACACGAGGUGUUGAUAACUCGAUUGUUCAUUGUGGAAAUCUGGUCAACCCUAGUUAUAUGCAAAGAACAGAAUGUACAAGCAUGUUUACCAUUUGAUUAUGCAACAACAGAUUAUGCAUAGUUCAAAUUAGUAUCAUGCAUAAAUAAACAUAUUGUAUAACUGAUCUGAUUUUUUUAUGCAAUUAGUUGUUUACUGUUGGUAUAAAUUUAAGUGGUACAUCUAGAGAGUGAUUUGGACUCUGCAAUUAAUCCAACCACAACAAUAAGCUAAAUCCCAUGUUAGACCGUUAAACUAUAGAAACACUUCCAUUUUAAUUUUUAAAUUUUAAUAUUGGACUUUUUAUCCCUAAAAAUAUGAAAUUCAUCCCGUUUUAGUUUUUAAACUUUAAUUUUGGAUAGUUUACCCCUAAAGUAUGAAAUACAUCCUAUGAAUGUAUCAAAACUAACAAAAUAGUAAGCAAGUGAUGCUCAUGAUUUAAUGAAUAAAGUGAGAUAGAUUCAUACUAGCUAAUUUAGGGGGUAAAGUGUCAAAAAUUAAAUUUAAGAACUAAAGUAUGAUGGGGAUAAAAUGUCUAAAAUUAAAAUUUGAAAACUAAAAUUGGUGCAUCUAUAGUUUAAGGGUCCAAAAUUGAAUAUACUCACAAAAUAUUAAAAAAAAAACCCUACUUUCCGAACACAUACAUAGUGGACAUAUAGUAAAAUGUUAAGUGAUUCCUGUUUGUUUAGAAGUAAAAUGUUAAGUGAUUCAUGUUGUAUUCAGAAGUAAGAAAUUUUUGUUACCAAACAAGAUUAAUUUAAAACAUACCUAAUUCAUUAAUUUUAAAUAUUUAAUGAGUUUACCAACACCCUUUUAGUCCUUGAAUAUUCUCUUUUGACAGAAUCAAAAGAAUAUUAUUGUUUUCUUGAAUAAGGAUAAUGUAUAUAAAAAUGAGCAAGUUGAUGGAAGUUACUAUGUGGAGCAAACCAUACUCAUGUAGGUGAAUUGAAGCUUUGAAUUGAAUGUCAAAAUAUGACCCCAUUCUUUGCAUGGAUGUUUAACUUAUUCAUCAACUAAUACAAACACAAACGACAUGAUACAUUUUAUUUCUUAUAGAUCUCCAUAGAGGAAAGUGGGUAGUAAAAUAUACAACCAAAACAAUUUAUGGUCAAUUCUUGCCAGCUACCUUCAUAGGGUUAGUUCAGAUUGGUUUUUCAAAAGAAUAAAGCAAGGGUCCGUGUGUGUGUAUAUGGUCUUAAGUACUUAUCAUUUGGUUCUUUCAUUUGAAUAAAAAAUUAAAAAUUAAGAUAGUGAACUAGACAAAAGCUCGAGUCCAAUCAUAAUUUUAUGGUUAAUUAUACGAAUAACUCAAAUUGCUUGAUUGAUUGCCAUAAGGUUAAUAGUAUACAUAUACAAUGUUCUUGAUGUAUAUAGAUUGUUUCAGCCACCACAUAUUCAAUUGCUAUGGAAAAAUAUGCUAAUUAACCAUGUGAAAUCUUGGGAUUAUUUCCUUCUUCCCAUUGUUAGUGUGUGCUUUAUUUUAUUGAUGGUCCCAAAGUUGAGGUAGUUGCUAUCUAUGUUAAAAUUAAAUACAAGGGUUUAGUCUUUAGUGGUUAAACUCUUGGAUUUUGCUUCUUCCAGCUUAGAAACAGUCAAAUGAAGUUGGUAGUUGAGUCUGCUCAUUACAGGCAAAUGCAUGUAGCCAUGUGAGGAUAAUGCAGGCCUCCGUUUUCAUAGAGUUUUUAUAAUCAAAUAUAAGACUUUCCGCACGAAGAGCAACAAUGAAAAACUUUACUAUUAUUCAACCAACUUUUUUGUCCUUAAAUACCCAACACUUAGCAUCGGUCAUAGUCCUACACGGUUGACGAUGUUUACCAGGUUAACUUUCAAUUCGUCAACGGACAAAAAAAAUUGGGAAGUUUCAUUGAGAGAAAAUUACAUAAACACGCUCUAAGAAAAACAGUUUACCCGUAUUUGUUUAGUCUGUAUGGUUUAAGUUUGCCAAUCUCAGUCCAAUGCAAUUUUACAGAAUGAGAUCCUCUUGAUAACCUGGGGGUUGUAGCAUCUAUCGUGGUUGGAUAUAGUAAGUGAUGAUCCCAUCUUGAAAAGUUUGUGGAAGAUGAAAGGUUUAUACAAGUUUACGCACAAAUGCAAAUGAAUUUGGAUGGUGGGAUAUUAUGAAGGAAAAUUUCAAACUUUCACUUGCAUUUUGCAAGGUUACUUAUCUUAUUCACCAACUAAUAAAAACACUAAUGACACACUAUAUAUUAUUUCUUAGAAUUUUCCUAAUAAGUGCUCAAUCGGCAUUUGUCAGCAUACCUAAAUUUUACCUAACCUACCAUGUAUAUGCACACAUCAACAAUUACUAUCCACUAUUACAAUUAUAAAUUUUCUAAUUAAUUUUAUAUUUCCAAAAAUUUAACACUUGAACCACAUCUUAACGAAUGUCCAAUAAGCAAUCGUUAGAUAGACCGUAUUUCUUAUAGCGCUGCUUCCACAUGACGGAAGGUAGCUAGUAGCAUAUAAUACAACCAAAAAAGUUUAUGGUCAAUUCUUCUUAGCUUGAUAAGGGUUAGUUCGUAUUGGUUUCCUAACCCAAAAAACAAAAGAAUGGUGGUUUGAAUGUGUUUUAUUAUUCCUUUGGUGUUUGGUAUUUGGUAUUACCGGCUUCAUUCUAUAUCAAGUCGGUGUACAGCUACCUGCCCUUUCCGCAAUAUAUACCAUUGCUACAGAAAAAAUAUGCUAUGCCAGCUAAAUCGGGUGAAAUCUUUUGGUUAUUUCCUUCUUCCCAUAGUGUUAUUUGCUUCAUUUCAUUGAUUGUCCCAAAGUAGUUGCUACUGUAUAGCCUCAAACUAUUAUAAUAUUUAACUUUUGACUUUUCAACUAUUAAAUAAGCAGUUUUAACCCUCUAACUAAUUAAAACAAAUACACAAAGCGUUUCUAUCAACCUGAGUCGUUAUAUCUAAUAAAAACAGCACCCAAAGUGUCAAGAACUACAUUUACUGUUUUGUUGAAGAUAACGAUUCAAGUUAACAUAAGAGGUAUAAGUAUAUGUUUUAAUUAGUUAAGAGAGUUAAAAGUGCUCAUUUGAUAAUUGAAGAGCUAAAAGUUUAAUUUUGUAAUAGUUUGAGGGUUCUUGGGACAUUCUGCCCAAAUCAAAAUUAAAAAGAACCCACUAUUGCCCUACAAACACAUCGAAGUACUGAAUUUGUUUUUACUUAUUAGCAGUGUAUGACCCUUGACUUUUACUUCUAGUCUUAACACUUGUCAUGAAAAUUACUUCUAGGUACAUGUAUACAAUGACUUACUACAAAUUAGUGACGGAAAUCAAAAAAAUUUAGUACCUAGAAUAAAUAUUUUUCUUUGGUCUGUAGGGUUACAUUUACAAAAUAGUGAUGUAAAAAUAUUUUUUUUGAAAAUUUCAUAUAUAUAAUUCUCAUUUUCUUUUGGCCAGCGAAGGCAUGUGCGGCGACUGAACAAUAUAUUGAUCCCCCAUGUACCUAUGUGAAAUGUAAUUUCAGUAUUUUCAGUCUUUAGUGGUUGAACUCUUGGAUUUUUGUUUCAAUUAUAGCUCACGAACUGUCAAAUAAAAAUUGCUUGACGAGUCUUUGAAUUAAGACAAAUGUACAUAGCAAUAUGUGGACAAUCCAGGCCUCAUUUAUAUGAAGUAUUUGUAAUCAAAUAAGAAAAUUUUCCGUACAAGAAAAAAAAGGGUUGAAGACUUAAAUUUGGCACCAAUUUUUUGUCGAUGUCAAGUACGUCAAUUGUGCCUAACUCGGGGUAGAUCAUGUGAUGUGUUGCUCCUCUUUAAAAUAUGACCACCAAGGAUCGAGUCCCUAGAUUAACGUGUUCAAGAGAAAUUGGCCUCUUCUCUCGAGCCGCAAGGGAUUAGUCGGGUCGAAGGCUCGGAUACUUAUGUGUCGGAAAAAAAAAAAGUACGUCAAUUGUGUUCCAACAUUAGCAUCUUUUUUUUUUCUUAAUCUUUACUUGACCACAAAAGACAAAAUAAAUAAAUAAAUAAAUAAAUAAAUAUUCGUGACCUUUGAAGAAUUGAAAGGUUUAUUGAGACAAAAUCAUGUAGAUAUGUUACACGCAAGCAUGUAAUUUAGAUUCAAGUAACAUAACUUUUAUAUAUAUAUAUAUAUAUAUAUAUAUAUAAGUUAAUGUUCGAUUGAAAUUGAAAGAUCUGAUUUUUUUCUUUUAUGUUUUUUAGCAAGGAAGGAGUUGAAUUUAAGAAGUAGGGAAGAGAAAAUAAAUUUGAAUCCAAAAUCUCUAAGUUCGGAAAUCUCAAUCUAAUAUAGAUCCUCUUGAUAAGGAAGUAGCAAAAAUAUCUAUAGCCUAUAGUAAUAUGCUCAUUUAUCAAAUUCGACGCAAAGUUGGCAGAUUUAACUUUUGCUUGCUGCAUGUAAAAUAAUUGGAAACUUUUGUGAAGUGCCAAAUUGGCUCAUUUAAAAAAAGAGAAGAAAAAAUUUCUCAUUUUGGAAUUAGGGACCAAGAAUCCAAGGAGUCUAUGGACUCGAUUUGUGUAUCAAACGGUUUUUUUUUAAUCUUUUUGUCCUUUAGGUGUCUAUCAGACCUUUCUAUUGUUGAAGAUUUAGGAAAUGUAUGAAAUGAAAUAAAAACAAAAAACUUUGAUUCUUAGAAAGUUAGGUAAGGGAUAACUAAAAAUAAAAGAAGAAAGAUUAUUAUCACUUUACACCCUUCACGUUCGGUGUCACUAUCAAUUUCCCCCUUAAUGUUAUUUUUUAGUCACUUUACCCCCAAAACUAACGAUCAAAUUUAACGGAGUUUGUUAAUUAAAGUAAAAAGACAAGUUUAGCCCUUAAAGUUACUAUCACUUUACCCCCAUGAACUAUAACUUCAUUAUCAAUUUUUCCCAUAGAGUUAUUUUUUAAGCAAUUUAUGCUACCAUUAAACCAAUUUAGCAAGUUAAAAAACUUUAGAAGAAAGUAUCCUUCUUUUUGUAUAAUAAAAAUAAUAAAAAAUUUAGAGUGGCUUUUUUUAAUCUUUUUGUCCUUUAGGUGUCUAUCAGACCUUUCUAUUGUUGAAGAUUUAGGAAAUGUAUGAAAUGAAAUAAAAACAAAAAAAUUUUAUUCUUAGAAAGUUAGGUAUGGGUUAACUAAAAAUAAAAGAAGAAAGGUUAUUAUCACUUUACCCUCUUAACAUUUGGUGUCACUAUCAAUUUCCCCCUUAACGUUAUCUUUUAGUCACUUUACCCCCAAAACUAACGAUCAAAUUUAACGGAGUUUGUUAAUUAAAGUAAAAGACAAGUUUAGCUCUUAAAGUUACUAUCACUUUACCCCCAUGAACUAUAACUUCAUUAUCAAUUUUUCCCAUAGAGUUAUUUUUUAAGCAAUUUAUCCUACCAUUAAACCAAUUUAGUAAGUUAAAAAACUUGAGAAGAAAGUACCCUUCUUUUUGCAUAAUAAAAAUAAUAAAAAAUUUAGAGUGGCUCUUCUCCUCUUUAGUAUCAAGAAAAAAAAAGUCAAAGUAUUAAUCUCUUUCUUCUUGGCAAUCUUAUUAAUAUUAAAAAAAAAGAUCGGGAGGAGAAGGGAGAGGGGGAGAGAGAGAGAGAGAGAGCUCAAUUUUUUAAAAAAAAUUAUUUUACUUUAUUGUUUAUCACCAGAUUUCAAUCAUAAUUCCAACAACCUUAAAUUAAUACGAUAAUGUUAGACUUUUUUUUUCUUUGCAAAAUCUAAUUUUCUGUCUCCUUCUUUUCUAUCUCCUUUUCUUUUCCUAGUAUUAAUAAGUGUGAAAAAAGAAAUUUGAGAAAACUCUUUUAUUUUUAUAUUUUUGGAUCUCUUAAAGUGAAAAAAAAGAAGAAUAAUCAUUCUAAUUUUUUUAUUUUUAAUUAUAUAUAUAGGGGUAAAUAUAUUUAAAAUUUUUUUUAUCAUACUAGUUAGAUUAACGAUGAAGUAAAAUGUUUAGAAAAUAAUGUUAGGAAUUAAAGUGAUUAUAUCACUAUAAUUUAAAGGAAUGAAAUAGUAAUAACAAUGUAGUAAUGCUAUAGAAUAAAAGGGUAUUUUUGUCCAAAAUUUUUUAACAUGUUGAGUUGAAAUACUUAUAGGGGUAAAGUGACUAAAAGAUAAUAUUAGAGGAUAAAAUGAUAGUAGUGAUAUAGUUGAAGGGGGUAAAGUAAUAAUAACCCAAAGAAGAAUACCCAAAAACGAUAAAUUAAAUGAAAGAAGAGUAAAGGACAAAGCAUGCCCGAAAAGAAAACGCCUCUUUAUAGAAAUUUUGUCCUGGAAAGGGUCCAGUUUCAGGUUUUGAUCUAGUCUUUACCAAUUAGUAGUUUUGAAUGUUUGGAUUGGGCAUUUGAUUACGUCUUGGCUUUAACCUGUUCGGGAGGUCUGGCUCAAGUUUAAUAACAAACUAGUUUUGUAACCGUUCGUUGAACGGGAAUCUUCGAAAAAUAAUAAACUAUUUAGUCAAUUUUAUAAAAAUGUCGAUAUGAAAUACAAACUUAAUGUAUAUUCUAUUAUAACCUUUCUUAAGUAUAUUUACAAUUCUGAACAACAAAGCCCAUGAUCACUCACAAUUCAAGAUGAAAAUUUAGUAGACAUUUUGUCUUCGCAAAAGGAACGAAAAUAAAUUUGCCCCUCUCAGUUCAUGAUCACUCAAGAGGCAUAGGCCAAAUGCUUAUAAUAUGAAUGUUUAAUAGCAAUGAAAAACAUAGAAUAGAUAGUUCAACUAAAGUAACUAACAGACUUACAUGUGGUUGGAAAAAAAGGUCGGCGAAAAUAACAAAUUCAACUCUUGGAGUAUGUGCUGAGCAAGGAUCCACAGCACCAGCUACAAGCCCAAUACCUUGGACAAACGAAACAAAGGCAAAUUAACAAACAUCUAACAUGCAUCCUAUAGCAUGUUAGAUGUUGUUCAAUUCGGUGGAAACAUCUAACAUGUUUCUAUAUGAAAACUUACGAUGAAAAUACUAUUUUAAAUCCUAUCUCUUCAUACAAAACAAAUAGAAAAUAAAACCAAAACACACAAAAUUCAAGGCAUGUUACUAAAUUCUUACAAUUGAAGAUGAACAUGUCUUUUUAAAAAAGAAAAAUGUAUGUCGAAGGAAAAUUUAUCUGAUAAUCAAGAGGAGUGGAAACCCAAAAUUGACGCUUUAAUGUGCCAAUCGCUUGCACUGGAAAUACCUAACCAUAUAAAGAGGCUAUAUGUAGGCAUAAGAAUUGAUAAGCAUAUAAAGAGAUAUUGAUAAAAAUAUUAAAAGUAGUUUUAUCUUAAUUUAAGUUACUGAAAGUACGUAACUUUGGGUAGGAAAUAAGAAUUGAUAAGAAUAUAAAGAGAUAUUGAUAAGAAUAUUAAAAGUAGUUUUAUCUUAAUUUAAGUUGCUUAAAGUACAUAACUUUUGGUAGAAAAUAAGAAUUGAUAAGGAUAUAAAGAGAUAUUGAUAAGAAUAUAAAAAGAUGAUAAUAAAAAAUAGUUUUACAUAAGGCGUGCAUGCUAAAGAAAUUAUACAGGUCAUACCUUGUUGUUAUACCUAGAAGUUCACAAACCAAAAGAGGAGCAAGCGGCCGCAAAUAUAUGAUUAUGAUAGAAUGAUAAUCGGCCGCGAAUAUAGGAUAGAAUGCUAAGGACGGUUUUAUAAGCCAUACAUAGAUGAUAAGGACGGUUUUAUAUUUGAAAUUUAAUUUAGAUAAAUAUUGAUAAUUGAUUUCGUGCUUAUGAAAAGAAAUUGAUAAGCUCCAUAUAGAGCAUAGAUUAUUUUUUUUAAAAAAGGUGGAAAUCAUGGAAUAAAUGAACAAAGGCAAAAGAAGAGAGAGAUGGAAGAGCGUAGGUUAUUUUAUAGAGCGUGUUGAAACCACUUGCCCUGUCGUUAAGCCACGUAGGAAAGAAAAAGCAUAAAGCGAUAAAAAUGAGAAUACGACUUUAUUAUAUAUAUAUAUAUAUAUAUAUAUAUAUAUAUGAUGCCCGACCCAAAAAACGCAAAAAUUCAAUGCUUCAAAAUAAUACUUCCUUCAUCCCGUAAAGAUGAUUCACUUUCUUUGUGUUUGUUAUUAAUUAUAGGCCUGUUUCCUUUUUAAAAUGAUAGUUGGUAUAUGGACUUACUACUAUACCUAUAAUUAAUGUGCAUCUUAAUGAGCAAUAAUAAAUGUUCUAAAAGAUGCUAUUCUAUUAAUCAUCCAUUCGAUUAGAAAUAAUAAGUACUCUCUCCGUCCCACUUUAAUAGUUUAGUUUUUUCUCACAUUGUUUUAACUUUGUUAAAAAUUAAAUCUAACCUAUUGUUUCCCUAAAAUACCAUUUCAUUAAUAUUAGAAAUAUAACUAAUCACUAUACCUUUACAUUAAUUAUAACAGCAAUACUGAUGGUAUAUUACUCCAUUCAAGACAUAUAUCAAAGCAAUUGUUGGUGAAAAAGUUGACUGUCUUAAAUAAGGUAGGUUAUAUUUACUAUAAUAAAGUAUAUUAAAUGAGGGUAUUUUAGAGAAAUUAAAAGUUAACUAUAUUUUUCAAUUAAAAAAUGAACUAUAAUUUGGAAUAGAUGAAGACGAAAAACAAAACUAUCAAAGUAGGACGGAGGGAGUAUCAAUGGAAGGGCAUAUAAGAAGAUUACUAAAUAAAAAUCAUUAUGUUAACUAUGCUUCUUAAUUUGUGUGAAAUUGGAAGUGAGGUUAUCUGAGAAGUUUUAUGUGGAUUCGGAGUAACUACAAAAUAUGCCUAAUAGUUGAUCCAAAACUAAUAGAAAGCUCCACCUAAACAUAAAAAAUCCCACUUGUUAAUUCACAUGUUAAAUGGGUCACUUAACAUGUUAAAUGAAACCAAGUCGAACUCUUCUGUGUCCAUGUGAAACUUUUUCAUUGAUUAGAGAACAAUUAUUAGACAUGCCUAAUAGUUGAUCUUGACCGACAUAAAAUUUUUCGAGAUUAUCUUUAUGGAACGAAUGGAGUAUUGUGUUACAUAUAUAUAGGGAAAGAUAGUGAAGGAUGAAGCUUUUGACUGGAAAUCGGGAUCCUCCAUUUAUACCUUAUAAAAAUUUCUAUGUAAGAUAAUUUUGUAAUGAAGCUUGACAGUAAGCUACAUGAUUAGGAUCCUCCAUUUCUCUGAUCAUAAAACAAAAAUGAUUUUUAAACAUAAGAAGCGUUGAUAACUCAUUUCACUUUUCUUUUUUUUUUUUGAGUAACUCAUUUCGUAAUUGAAAUCACGGUCCAUUUUAGUUAUGUGCAAAAAGUCAAAAUGUACAACAAUGUUUCACCAUUUGAUUAAGGCAUUAAGCAACACAGAUGAUGCACAGUCCAAAUUUGUUCAUCAGUAUAACGUAUAAACACUUGUAAACAAUUGGUACUUUCAAGGGUGAGUCUUACUCUUAACAUAAUGUAAACAUUAUUUUUUGGCUAUGAUGGCCAGAUUAUGAAUGGAAAAGGGGUUACGAUGAUGGUUGUAAGAGACAACUGUUUGAAAUAAUUUAAUUCCAAAUUGGAUUUGAUUUCUCUCUAGCGGAGUCUCUUUCCAUUUCUCAUAAUGUACAUCUGAAUGCAUAAUAUAUGUCUUUAUUUAUCGGCAAGAGACAUAAUUAUUUUAAAUUUGACUGAUCUUAACUUUAUUAAUAAAUGAAGAUAAGUAUGCACUGUAGAAAAUAGAAAGAAAAUCUAUGGGAAAGAAGUCACGUCCGUCCAAAUUCUGCAAAUAAGAGAAAUUAUAAGUUAUACGGUUCACAGCAUAUACCACAUAACUCUAACAUAAAAGACAAACAUACAACUAAUUUACAAUGAAUUACAAUUUGUUCAUAAAGCGUUACACUAAUAUUUAGAAAUAGUUAUCAAGGGUUACAAUCAUUUCUGUCCCCAUCCAAAUUAUGACUACCAAUCUAAGGGACGGAUGAUCCAAUUGUCCCUGCUUGAUCCAACUGUCUAUGUUACAAGUAGGCGGCCUACCCCAAAAUAGAUGGAACUCUAUUUUUAAACACAUUCUUUUUUUUUUCUCUGAAAAAAUAUAUAAUUAAAAAUUACUAUAGUAUAUUCCAAAUUCUAGAAAAAUUACCAGCACCCAAAUGAAUAUCUGCACAUUUUAUAAAUCAUCAGAUCUACAAGUUAAUUACUCCAUACUCAAAUAACAAGUAAAUAAAUUUAAGAAAUUUCAUAUUUGACAAACAUAUUUGUAGCACAAAGAUCACUAGCUGUUAUUAGUUUUGCCAGCGCAAAAAAAAAAAAAAUAGUCACCAAGCUUUCCAAUUAAUCUACCGAACUUUUUUUGAAGCUAGCAAGCUAAAAUAAUCAUUCACGAAGUUUUCUUCUUGUGUUGACAAAGCAAGAAACAAAUCAAAUCAACAGAAUUAAUUAACUUCAUCAUGUUAAAACAAUUUUCCAAUCACAAUCAAGUACAGAUUGUUAUAGCCUCCCUUGUUGCCGCCAAUAAUUUUGAGUCAAGAAAGCUGUCACAAGAAGAGAUUAUAGACCAUCUUUAUAAAUUUAAAAACUACAUUUACAUACAGGAAUGGCAUAUAGUUUUGCCACUCGUAUUUUUCAUAUGUACAGUUACAAUAAAGCAUUUGAAAAAAUCUCUAAAAAAAAAUAGCUAAUACAAAUGGAAUCAAUCUUAUAUUGUAACCUGGAUGAUUUCAUAAUCUAGAUAGUUCAGAUACUUUAUCGAGCUAAUACUUUAUGCUAGCAGGAUUCAGUUUCAUUAGAUAUUUAGAUCAAGAAUUUGUUCCAAAGAGAAUCCAAUUUUAGGUGUGAUAUAUCAAAACACUUUUAUCAUAGAGAAAAUCAAGAUUUGGUUGGAUGUUUACCACCCUUUUCUAUUAAAUAUUUGAACUGAACACCUAAUCCAAUCUUGGUUUAAUCGGCCAUAUUGAGUAUUCUAAGUUGGGUUUAAAACAACGUUGCAAGUUCAAAAAACAAAAAAAAAUAAAAUAAAAUAAGAUUUCCCAGAACAACUGUUGUUUCAUCUUGUAUAUGAUUUUAUGUGGCUAAAGCACGUGAUUUAUUACCAAGUGUUUAGGGUUGUUGGUUAUAGAAGUGGACUGAACAUUUGAUCAAUAUCCAUCCUUCAAAUUUUACUGAAUAACAAACUACAGAUUUUCAAUGUCUUGCAAAAUACAUAACCAGAAUCGAAUCAAAUAACUCCUGCUCUAAUACCAAUGAGAAAAUUACAUAUAUUUCCUUCCAUAAUUGAACAUCUUAUAUUUUCCAGUCAAGGGAAAAAAAAAAAAAAAGUAUAGGCCUUGAAACUGGGUUGCCCACACUUAAAAAUUAAACUGGAAUCUAUGUAGCCACUUGUACCACGUUCUGUUCAGAAAAGAAUCCUGAUAUGCCAUGCGGAAAAUGGAUUAGUAUACGAUAGCAAACUUUUGACCCUUGAAGAGAUUCCGCUCCCAUGCUGCUGCCCAUGAAGCUCGAUAGCUGUGGCCAACAAGAUCAGCACGUAAGGAUUCACCACAACCUUAUAUAAGCUUAUUCUUUCAAAAUGGUGAAGAUCUGAUGGGCGGAAUGAGAACUGGAACCUUGCAAGUGCCCAUAAAAUAACCUCCUUUCAUCUAUGGUCCCAGAACCCAUAAGACAUAUAGCGAACAAACGUAAUACUCAUCGUGGACUAGUUAAGCGAAGCUCCAUCUCAGUACCAAACCGUGUAAGUGACAAGUUUGCAACACAGUUUGGCAUGGAAAACUGAACUCUUGGCAACAGAAUGAGCUUCUAGGAUAGAAGGCAUCCAUUA